UUCCCGUUUUCCCACGUCAGCAUGGUUCUGAGUUCCUUUUAAACCAAAGUAAUAUGUCGUCUCCAAUUCUUCCGCUUUGUUUUCAUCGUUACGAAUCUCUGCAAAUUGGCGUUUAAUUGAAGAUAUUUACAGAUCAAUUCAAUUGAGAUUCACAUAAAUUCGACGAUUCAUGUCCUAUAUCUCUCCAUCAUUCUUAAAAAUCGUGAGGGUGAUCUCAACAUUGUAGCGCAGAUAAGCAAGCUCGGGGUUGGACAGGUGUACGCUGCCUCUGUGAUGUAUGGGUAUUUCCUGAAGCGGAUCGACCAAAGGUUUCAGCUCGAGAAGGCCAUGAAGAUUCUCCCAGGCGGGUCGGAUGAAGGUGAGACUGGCAUUGAGCAGGCGGGAAGGGAAGGAGAGAGAAGGUUCUAUGAAGAAACGGAAGAGACGUAUCAAGCUGUUUCCUCAAACCAAGAAGUUGGUUCGUUUGUGGGAGGGAUCAAUACGUCUUCAAACGGAAGAGACGUAUCAAGCUUUGUGUGUUAACAGAUAACAGAAAGUUUUGAGCUUUAUGUGUUCUGUGAAUCUAUCGCUUGAUCAAUCAUUGUAUGAGAAGCAGUUUUACUCUUUGUGUGUGGUUUGUUCAGUUAUAGGUAUUAGCUGUUUCCUUUUGCUUUAUUCAGUUACACUUAGAGAACAUGGUUACAAAUUUUCUUUUUGGUAUGUCAGUUUUUUGAAAGGACAUGACCAGAAAGUAAACAUUAUUUCUGUGGAAACAUUCUUCAGAUGGCUUGAGAUUGGUAUAUUAUCUGCUAAAAACGUGAAAGAGAUGUGUGCAAUAGUUUCCUGUUGAUUACUUGAUUGGGUAUAAGUUUUGUAAAUAUUGGGUAUCUCCUUUUUACCGGUUGCUGCAGAGAAGGAGCUUUGGCCAAGGGAAGAGAAGAGUGAACAAAAGAACCAGCUUGGCUCAGAAGGAAGAUGUAAUCAAGAGAACUGUUUAUGUCUCUGACAUCGAUCAACAUGUUAAAAAAAGGGGAAUCUGUUGGUUUUAACCUUUCGUCAUUGGGAUGAUCUACCCAGUACAAAUUACUCUGUCAUGAAGAGAGCAUUUGAUGAAGGUUGUAGAGGCGUCAUCGCUAAAACGAAUCAAAACAGCUGCUAGAAAAGUUGUGCGCUUCUGGAGGACGUUUGCGGAUGGAUUAAUGCUAAAGCCUUUGUUCCAGUAUGGGCUGAGAGCCUAAGAUGACUUUUAACAGAGCUGUGUGGCUUGUGCCUGAUUCUGACACUACAUUUUUAGCCAAUUAAAUAGUUUAAUCAGUUCUGAUCAUUUAGUAUUCUGCUUCAGGGACGGACAUCUUCCUCGCAGGCAGCUCAGAUCAUGGUACGUUCAUAUAUUCUGUUUUUUUUUUUCAAUUAAACAGGAGCCUUAGACAUUAACUAAUAACAAUAGUUUCCUACGCAGGGGAGAUCACAUAGUUAAAUAAAAACUCUGUUUUUUUUUGCCAAUUAUCUCUAACAGUUUCUUCGUCCUCAGCUCUCUUAAAACACUGUUAAGUUAUGGUUGUAGAGCUGUGAAGUUUAAGACAGCCGAGUCUAUGUUUCCCAGUGCAGAUCGAAGCUCUAAGUAGGAGGAACAAGAGAAUGAUAGACAUAGAUCUGUUAUGGUUCAGAGCACAACAGAUUGAGAUUUAAGUAUGUGGAGCUCAUCAACAAAUUGAACAAGUUCAAUUCCAAAGUUUAACAUCUUGGGGGUAAUGGCGGAUGGGAGUUAUAGGUUGCUGUAACGAGAGCGCUGAAGAAGGAUUUAACAAAUAAGGUACAAGCUUCAUUUCAUAAACAUUAACACACAGUCUUUGCAUUGGCUGAUGGAACAAGCUUUAUUUUUCUUUGUGGUUACAUGAAUCUACUUGCUACUGGUUCGGGUUUGGUUUUGAACAUGUUUCUGAGAUUGACCUUGACAAAGAUCCGCUAAAGAAGGUAAAAUUGUAGGUGUAUUUUUUACUAAAAUUAGAAUCACUAUAUUAGUGUCUUGCUCUUCCUCUUAUUCUCUGUUUUAUGAUUAGUAGGACGAACAUAAUAUUUCUUGGAACAAAAAUCAUUGCUUUCUUUUUGCAGGACGGUUGUUAAAGAGACUAAUGCAGGGGAGAACGUUGAUUGUGGGAACAUCUUCAAGUGGUCUCACCUCCAAAAGGUGGACGUAAGUGGUAAGAUUUUUUGGAAAUCAGCAACUGUGAGAACAUCUUCAAGUGGGCUCACCUCCAAAAGGCUAGCAAUAGCAACUACCAAGGUGACCAAGAAGGACGAGUGGCUUAAGUGAAGAUGAUGAAUUACCUGGAUGCAGUACUUUUUGAAUAAUGCUUUGUACCGAUGUUGUUUUCCUUCUUUUUAUAACCUUUGAGUACUCUAAUGGGUUUUGAUAUGUUUUGAAACUCUCUAUGAAAUGCUUAUUUAUCAAAUUUAUUACAUCUCAUUAAAUCAAUAAGAUUGGCUUCACAUGCUAGCACAUAUUUUCAUAACAAAAUUAAAAAUACUACAUAUAAAUAAGGAUUAAAAACGAUGUAAUUCAUAUAUGAGCUCUUCUGUGUCCAAUGAACGUUCAAUGUAGUAAAAUGUGCGUCUAACAAUUCAGGAGCAUUAACAAAUUUAACAAUAUAUGUACAUACAUGUACGCUUUGAACAUGAUAACACCCUCUCUAUGUACGCACAUUUCAAAAGUGUUGAAAAUUUAUAACAUACUUAGAAAAA